CCGAGUUUACACUCCCAAACCCCUGUGAACCUUACCUUUACUGUUGCCUCGGCGGUGCCCGCCGGAGGACCCAAACCCUUCUGUAUUUUUCUUACGCAUGUCUGAGUGGAUUUAAUAUCAAAUGAAUCA
rnacentral:misc_RNA from 1 species